AGAGUUUGAUCCUGGCUCAGGACGAACGCUGGCGGCGCGCUUAACACAUGCAAGUCGAGCGAGAACCAGGGCUUCGGCUCUGGGGACAGCGGCGAACGGGUGAGUAACACGUGGGUAAUCAACCCCCGACACCGGGAUAGCCCGGGGAAACUCGGAUUAAUACCGGAUGUCCCGUCCGGCCUUCGGGCCGGCCGGAAAAGGUAGCUUCGGCCUCCGGUUGGGGACGAGCCCGCGGCGGAUUAGCUUGUUGGUGAGGUAACGGCCCACCAAGGCGACGAUCCGUAGCUGGUCUGAGAGGACGAUCAGCCACACUGGGACUGAGACACGGCCCAGACUCCUACGGGAGGCAGCAGUGGGGAAUCUUGCGCAAUGGGCGAAAGCCUGACGCAGCGACGCCGCGUGAGGGAAGAAGGCCUUCGGGUUGUAAACCUCUUUCAGGAGGGACGAAGCCACUCGGGUUAAUAGCCCAGAGGGUGACGGUACCUCCAGAAGAAGCCCCGGCUAACUACGUGCCAGCAGCCGCGGUAAUACGUAGGGGGCAAGCGUUGUCCGGAUUUAUUGGGCGUAAAGAGCGUGUAGGCGGCCAUGCAGGUCAGCUGUGAAAACUCGAGGCUCAACCUCGAGAUGUCGGUUGAAACCGUGUGGCUAGAGUCCGGAAGAGGAGAGUGGAAUUCCCGGUGUAGCGGUGAAAUGCGCAGAUAUCGGGAAGAACACCCGUGGCGAAGGCGGCUCUCUGGGACGGUACUGACGCUGAGACGCGAAAGCGUGGGGAGCGAACAGGAUUAGAUACCCUGGUAGUCCACGCCGUAAACGAUGGGUGCUAGGUGUGGGGGGUGUCGACUCCCUCCGUGCCGAAGCUAACGCAUUAAGCACCCCGC
rnacentral:rRNA from 1 species